rnacentral:SRP_RNA from 1 species
UUGUGCUAGGCGGGGAGUUGGCGGUGCCUUGUCACCUGAAAUCCGCUUUAUGCAGGGCUGAAUCCCUCCCUGAGGGCCUGAUGUCCUGGAUUAACGGAAACACUCAGACCGGUCGCCGCGCAACAGACGGUCACGAACCUCGUCAGGUCCGGAAGGAAGCAGCGAUAAGUGGUUUAGUCUGUGUCGUGGAUCGACCCCGGUUAUGUAGUUGUUUUUGUUUUUUCGGGAAUAAGGGUUCGAAGGGAGGUGCACAA